rnacentral:rRNA from 1 species
AACGAACGCUGGCGGCGCGUCUUAAGCAUGCAAGUCGAACGGCAAGAGAGGAGCUUGCUUCUCUCCUAGAGUGGCGGACUGGUGAGGAACACGUGGGUAAUCUACCCUUAAGAUGGGGAUAGCUGCUAGAAAUAGCAGAUAAUACCGAAUACACUCGGCAUUUCACAAGAGGUGUUGAGGAAAGGAAGCUACGGCUUCGCUUGAGGAUGAGCUUGCGUCCCAUUAGCUAGUUGGUGAGGUAAAGGCCCACCAAGGCGACGAUGGGUAUCCGGCCUGAGAGGGUGAACGGACACAUUGGGACUGAGAUACGGCCCAAACUCCUACGGGAGGCAGCAGCUAAGAAUAUUCCGCAAUGGACGGAAGUCUGACGGAGCGACGCCGCGUGGAUGAAGAAGGCUGAAAAGUUGUAAAAUCCUUUUGUUGAUGAAGAAUAAGGGGGAGAGGGAAUGCUUCUCUGAUGACGGUAAUCGGCGAAUAAGCCCCGGCUAAUUACGUGCCAGCAGCCGCGGUAACACGUAAGGGGCGAGCGUUGUUCGGAAUUAUUGGGCGUAAAGGGCAUGUAGGCGGUUAUGUAAGCCUGAUGUGAAAUCCUGGGGCUUAACCCUAGAAUAGCAUUGGGUGCUGUGUAACUUGAAUUACGGAAGGGAAACUGGAAUUCCAAGUGUAGGGAUGGAAUCUGUAGAUAUUUGGAAGAACACCGGUGGCGAAGGCGGGUUUCUGGCCGAUAAUUGACGCUGAGAUGCGAAAGCGUGGGGAUCGAACAGG